GUGUAGGAUAGGUGGGAGGCUUUGAAGUGUGGACGCCAGUCUGCAUGGAGCCGACCUUGAAAUACCACCCUUUAAUGUUUGAUGUUCUAACGUUGACCCGUGAUCCGGGUUGCGGACAGUGUCUGGUGGGUAGUUUGACUGGGGCGGUCUCCUCCUAAAGAGUAACGGAGGAGCACGAAGGUUGGCUAAUCCUGGUCGGACAUCAGGAGGUUAGUGCAAUGGCAUAAGCCAGCUUGACUGCGAGCGUGACGGCGCGAGCAGGUGCGAAAGCAGGUCAUAGUGAUCCGGUGGUUCUGAAUGGAAGGGCCAUCGCUCAACGGAUAAAAGGUACUCCGGGGAUAACAGGCUGAUACCGCCCAAGAGUUCAUAUCGACGGCGGUGUUUGGCACCUCGAUGUCGGCUCAUCACAUCCUGGGGCUGAAGUAGGUCCCAAGGGUAUGGCUGUUCGCCAUUUAAAGUGGUACGCGAGCUGGGUUUAGAACGUCGUGAGACAGUUCGGUCCCUAUCUGCCGUGGGCGCUGGAGAACUGAGGGGGGCUGCUCCUAGUACGAGAGGACCGGAGUGGACGCAUCACUGGUGUUCGGGUUGUCAUGCCAAUGGCACUGCCCGGUAGCUAAAUGCGGAAGAGAUAAGUGCUGAAAGCAUCUAAGCACGAAACUUGC
rnacentral:rRNA from 1 species